ensembl:misc_RNA Metazoa_SRP Metazoan signal recognition particle RNA
GCCAGGCAUGGAGGCAUUUGUCUGUAAUCCCAAUUAGUGGGGAGACUGAAACUAGUAGCUUUCUUUAGCUCAGGAGUUCAGUGAUUCCAUGAACUAAGCUCAGUUGGGGUCUGCACUAAUUCUGGCAUUAAUGUGACAAGUCUGGGAAUGGGGGCCACCAGAUUGCCUAAGAGGGACAUACUGGCCCAGGCCAGAAAACAGAGCAGGUCAAAGUUCCUGUGUUGAUCAGAGUGGGACCAGUCUGUGAAUAGCCCUUGCACUCCAGGCUGGGUAAGAUAGAGAACUUCAGUCUUUU